rnacentral:rRNA from 1 species
GACGAACGCUGGCGGCAUGCCUAACACAUGCAAGUCGAACGAUACCGUCGGGUCUUGUGGCGCACGGGGGCGUAACGCGGGGGAACCUGCCCGUAGGUUCGGAAUAACUCCCCGAAGGGGGUGCUAAUACCGGAUAAUGUCUUCGGGCCAAAUAUUUAUCGCCGUGUGAUGGGCCCGCGUUAGCUUAGCCGGUUGGUAGGGUAAAAGACUAUCAAGGCGAAGAUCCAUAGCUGGGAGGAGAGGAUGAUCAGCAACACUGGGACUGGGACACGGCCCAGACUCCUACGGGAGGAAGGAGUGGGGAAUAUUGAACGCCGGGUGAGAGACUGAGACAGCAAUGUCGUGUGAGUGAUGAAGGCCUUAGGAUUGUAAAGCUCUGUUACACGGGAAGAUAAUGACGGUACCGGGAGAAUAAGCGCCGGCUAACUACGUG